CAAACGCACGGGCAUCAUCCGAUCACGAGUCAGUUGCUUCGCUACCCAGCCCAGCUGCUCACCUGCACUCUGUUUUCGUCCUCGCUUCGGUGCGAGUGUCUGUGUGUGUGCGUGUAACUCCAUGCGCACGGGGCGGGCGACACACAACACGCCAUCCAGCCAGGCAGGACACAGGCGAAGCAGCAGCAGAGCAGAGAGAGCAGUAGUAAUACAACAACAACGACGAAGCAUUCAUCAGUCAUCAGAGCGUGGUGGAAGUUGUCAAGAGUCGAAGUAAGCGAAGCCAAGUGAAGUGCGUUCAGUUUUUUUGCCCCUGCGGAAGAAUCCACAUCACAAUCGCAGCAACCGUUGCCAUCGUCAUCAUCCGACAAUCUUUCCUGAUUUGGGUUGGUGCUCCUCCAUGUUGUUGUCAGCAAGUGAGCAACAUAAAGAAAAUCGAUAAGCAACCUUGAAAAGCCAGAGCCUGCUGCGGAGUUCGCGUGGUGUCAUUCGUGCGGGAAGCAAAAUUAUUCGCCAUUUCGUGUGCUUCGAGAGGUGUCUCCUCUUUCGUGCAGUUGCCAAGGAAGAAGAUCUACGGAAUUUAAUCCAUUUCCGUUCGGAAUUUCAAUUAAUUUUUGUGACUUAGUGCCAGUGCUCGCAAAAUGUGCAAAACGCCACUGACUGCAGACGUAGAAGUAUCUGCCCUCGUUAGCGAAAAGACUGCGUUUACGUCAUAUUUCUGUGCCCUUAUCAGUCGCUGAAUGGCUGCUGAAAGUUGUCCGAAAAAAAUCCGAACCCGUGAAGUGCUGCACCGUGACCGUUGUUGUCAAUCUGCUACGAACUAUCGUCGUCGUGGUUUGCCUAUUUGACCCUCCCACCCCCGUCGUCGAAAAGGGGAGGGCCACCGUAUAGGUCAUCGUGUUCGCUUCCAUUUGGAUUUUUUCCCUUCCUGUAUAUAUUGUACAUAGGCGAGCCGCAAAUUGUUUCCCUUCUCUAAACAAUAACAAAAGAAGAUUGAUUCCCUUCGAGGAAAGACAGAACGAAAGAUAAAUCGCGAACGGAGGAGACACAUCGCUUCGUUGGAAAUUUUCUAAUAAUAAUAGUAAUAAAUUCACAACGUAUAUCAACACGAAUCACGCACACUCAGAGCAUCACAACAUCACCAGUUAUUCCAGAGACGGACAGACAGACAGAGGUGGAGUGAGAGAAAGCCACCCAAUCGCGUCAUAUCAACUAAAGAGCCGAGUAUUUAGCAACAGAAAACAUUGAACGAGCAGCUCUAGGCCAGUCGAGCUUACCGCAGCAGUGAGUGAGAGAGAGUAACGAAGAAACCAGAGACCAGAACGGACAUCAUAGCACAACCCGUCUCGCCGUUUCAGGUGCGACAAAGAUAAGCAACAAAAUUGCGCCAAACGAUAAGACUCAACCGCAGCAGACCAAAUCGUCAUCGUCGUCAGAAAAAGAAAUGGCAUCGGCCCUCAAAAGUCCCACGGCACCGGCCGGGGCCGGAGGUGGCAAGUUCAGCUGGAUGGCCCACGUCAAGUACGAACACCUGAUGGCCGGAGUUUCCGGCGGAGUUACGUCCACGCUGUUACUGCAUCCACUGGAUCUGAUCAAAAUUCGCUUCGCAGUAAAUGACGGCCGAACGGCAACGUUGCCGCAGUACCGAGGCCUCUCGGGUGCGUUCCUGACCAUCUUCCGCCAGGAGGGUUUCCGAGGACUGUACAAAGGCGUCACGCCGAACAUUUGGGGCUCCGGAAGUGCUUGGGGAUUUUACUUCUUGUUUUACAACUCCAUCAAAACGUGGAUCCAGGAUGGUAACACGGCGCAACCGUUGGGCCCAGCACUGCACAUGCUGGCGGCAGCCGAAGCCGGCGUCCUGACCCUGGUGAUGACCAAUCCCAUCUGGGUGGUAAAGACACGACUGUGCCUGCAGUUUAACGAACCGGGCCAGAAGGGCUACGCCGGCAUGGUGGACGGGCUGAAGAAGAUCUACCGAACCGAGGGCAUCCGGGGGUUGUACAGUGGAUUCGUACCUGGCAUGUUGGGAGUGUCACAUGGGGCACUGCAGUUCAUGACGUACGAAGAGAUGAAGAAUCGGUACAACCAGAACCGGAAGCGGCCCAUCGAUGCGAAAUUGACCACCGUAGAGUAUUUGACGUUUGCCGCCGUCUCGAAGCUUAUCGCCGCUGCAGCCACCUAUCCAUACCAGGUGAUACGGGCCCGCCUGCAAGAUCAGAACCACAGCUACAAGGGCACCUGGGACUGCAUCAAGCUGACAUGGAGGUACGAAAGGGUGUCAGGGUUUUACAAGGGCCUCAUGCCGUACUUAGUCCACGUGACGCCCAACAUCUGCCUCGUGAUGCUGAUCUAUGAGCAAUUCACCAAGCACUAGCAGCAGCACCACGGUGCAGUAUAGUAGUCGUCGUCGGCAGUCGGUUCAGAAGACAGUGUGAGAUGACUCAUGGCGAAUAAGAAAAGAAAAACUGAAACAGAGAUUCUCUCCUCUCUUAGGCUGUCCUGAGUAAUAUAUACUUAAAUUUGAAUCGUGGCGUGGCUUCUAUAAGGGGCUCGGUCCGAACUUGUUGCGCGUAACGCCGGCGACGAUGGUAACGUUCGUUACGUACGAGAACGUUUCGCGCUAUCUGUUGGACUUCAGAAAGUCGUAGUUUAGAAGCCACUUGAAGCGGCUUACCUAGCUUUACCUCAAACCUUAUCCUAUGUGUACACAAUCAGUUCAAGUAGGUA